UAAGGGUGAAUAUGUAUUGCCUUUGUUGCUAAGAAUGUGAUUGUUCUGCUAUUUUUGUUUGUUUUCUUUGGGCUGAUUACAUUAUGAGCAAUGUCGAUAUUUAGCUAGUUUAUUGUAAUAUUUACUUAAACUUUUAUGUUUAAAGUGUAGUUAGGUUAUCAACAUGUUGGUUGAUCUAUGGUGAAUUUGCCUUUUAUUGGGUUGUAAACUGUUUUGACAGGUAUAUAUUAAUGUAUUAUAACAUUCCCGGUA